GGACACUUUGAGGAUUGACAGACAGUUAUACCGAACUACGAAUAAUGAAUGGUCCAGGGUAGGCAAAAACUAAUAGCUCUUUUAUGAUUAUGUGAUAGGUGGUGCAUGGCCGUUCUUAGUUCGUGGAGUGAUCUGUCUGCUUAAUUGCGUUUCAAAACAACUGAUACACAGAGUCUUGGCACAGUUCAGUUUAAUGGCGUCGAGUAUCUUUGAUUUCGACAGUAGUCCAACUCGGUUCGCCAGGGUCUCUUUUGAACGCAACGGACGUGAUCGCAACCCUUUGUUGAGUGAUGUCAGCACUCUACGUCUAUCCUAGCUCGUUGAUCGCAAGUGAGAGUUGGGUGGGCAAACUCAGGGGACAGCUUCAACUAUUCUUCUUCAAACUAGAGGAAGGUUGCGGCAAUAACAGGUCUGUGAUGCCCUCAGAUGUUCUAGGCUGCACACGUGCUACAUUGAUCAGCACAAUGCGAUACAUUUCGAAAGGAAACAUCGGUUUUAAGGUAACGUCGAUUGCCUACCGAUAGCACCUGGUCCCCAGUGGACUGGGCAAUCUCUUCUAAAUGCUGGUAAGGUACCCACACUCGAGCUAUUUAAUCACACGCGGGAGGCACACACGG
rnacentral:rRNA from 1 species